UACGUAGGGGGCGAGCGUUGUCCGGAUUUAUUGGGCGUAAAGAGCUCGUAGGCGGUUCGAUAAGUCGGACGUGAAAUCUCCACGCUCAACGUGGAGGGGCCGUUCGAUACUGUCGUGACUCGAGUCCGGUAGGGGAGUGUGGAAUUCCCGGUGUAGCGGUGAAAUGCGCAGAGAUCGGGAGGAACACCCGUGGCGAAGGCGG
rnacentral:rRNA from 1 species